CCUACGGGUGGCAGCAGUGAGGAAUAUUGGUCAAUGGGCGGAAGCCUGAACCAGCCAAGUCGCGUGAGGGAUUAAGGCCCUGCGGGUCGUAAACCUCUUUUGCCGGGGAGCAGAGGUCCGGACGUGUCCGGGCCGGGAGAGUACCCGGAGAAAAAGCAUCGGCUAACUCCGUGCCAGCAGCCGCGGUAAUACGGAGGAUGCGAGCGUUAUCCGGAUUUAUUGGGUUUAAGGGGAGCGUAGGCCGCAUGUCAAGCGUGCUGUGAAAUGUCCGGGCUCAACCCGGGCCUUGCAGCGCGAACUGGCGUGCUUGAGUCCGCGGAAAGCAGGCGGAAUUCGUCGUGUAGCGGUGAAAUGCUUAGAUAUGACGAAGAACCCCGAUUGCGAAGGCAGCUUGCUGCAGCGGAACUGACGCUGAUGCUCGAAAGCGCGGGUAUCGAACAGGAUUAGAUACCCGAGUAGUC
rnacentral:rRNA from 1 species